GAGUGCGUCUCCCUCAGUCUAACAGGUAGCAGUUACUCGAAUGCGCCUGCGCAGUAGGAUCAGGGGCGCGAGGGGAACGCCCAGCCAGAGGCUGAAGGCAAGGGAAAGCGACAGCGACAGUCGUGACGCCAUUUGCUUUCCGCGGAUCGUGGCCUUCUGAGAUUUUUGUCAGGGCUCUGUCCUAUUAGGCUGCAGUCCCAGUAUUGUUCUGCACCCUCGGCUUCCAGGUUGUUCGUCGGGUACUCGUUUCAGAGGAGUAACUGACGUUCGGCACAGCCGGACAGAAGUCGAAACGCCGUGAGUCCGCUGUCACCACCAUGCCCAAAAAUAAAGCUUUUCCUUAUUGUCUGCACAUUUGAAGAAGCAAUCACUUCUUCCAGACCUUACAGACUGGCUUCUGUUGGAAAAGAAACUCAAGUAUAAGUGGGAGUGACAGUGCCAGAAAUCUUUAGUUUGUCUUACACUGAAUUGCUGCAGUUUCUUAAGAAGUACUACCCCAGUGCUUUCCAGAGUGCCAGUUGAACAGAAGUUGCAAGAAUGCACGUCCUUCAAUUGUUCAGGAUCUUAAAAGGAAAGCUUUCAGGUUUUUUCUCCAUUGAAUGUGAUAUUAACUACGGGAUUUUCAUAUAUAACCUUCAUUGUGUUUAGACUGCUGUUGCUUUACUUUCGUAUUUUUGCAAGUAUGUUUCAUCUUCAGAGAGAUUCAUGGAAAGGACUCUGACACUUGCUCUAGAAUGUGGGUUUCUGACAAACUAUCAGAUUAUGAAACUGAGCUGGGUAAGAAAAUACACAACUGUAACUGAAAAACUGAUGGCCUCAUGAAACCACUAACAGAAGACUGGAUUAAAAAUUGAUUAUAUGGGACUAAAUAAGUUGAUGAGGAUGACCACAAUUUUUGACUUUUAGUUCAAAAUACUGCUUUUUCUAAUAUUUUAUUUUCCCAGACUUAAGGAAACCCUUUUCUCUUUUCUUUUAAGGAACUAUGACUUAUAGCAAUUUGUAAGCAGAAUUGAAGCAUUUAUCUUUUUCUCCCUAUCUGAUUCCUCUGGAAUUUGAAAACUCUUGAUGAGUAUUCUUAUAUUCAUGGCAAUACAGUUAUUUGCAUAAGUUCCAGAAGAAUCUAUUCUACUUCUAACAGGACACAACUGGAAACACUGGUUAUAUUACCAGGGCUUUGACUGGAAUGUCAUAUUUGAGAAAAAGAUGUAUAACCUCAGAUAUAACCAAAUGCUUUGAGGAACAAGGAUUGAUUUUGUGGAACAAAUAAAGUCACCUGGAAAUAUUGGCCAAGUAUCUUGCUUACAGACUUCCCAGCAACCUUUGAACGCAGGGCUAACUUUGGAGACGCUUCCUGUGUUCAGAAGAUGAUCAAAAAGAUCUGGAGGGAACUCUUAAUGGACAAGUCAACCCCUGACACACCACAGGCUGCUGUUCAGUUGAGAGUCUCCUAAAGAUAAGUAAUGAAUGGCUCCUAGGGUCUUACCUUACUUUUUGACUAUUAGGCAGCAGUCUACUUGGCCACAUCAGAUUUCACUUGAGGUUCCAGGCAUUAACCUUGCUUGCUUUACAGACCUCUUCUUCUGAAUUCCCCAAGGAUUGAUGUCCAAAAUGGAUGGGAUACUAAAAUUUGGCUUGCCUAUUUUGCUAAUCUAUGUGGUCAUCUAUGUAAUCAUAAAAUGUGGACUUAAGUAUUGUUCCAAAGCCGUUGAUCACGUACUAAAAUAUUAGUCAUGCAAAGCAUAUCUCACUUUUCCCACAUGGUACCCAAACUGUUUUAAAAUAAAGAUAAAACAUUUUCCUUCCGUUCAUCCCCAUAAUGUCCCUAAUCAGCAGGAAGGAGCAAGAUAGAGAUGAUAGCCUUAUUCUCCAAGAUUUAGGAAUGACCAACUGACAGUGGGGAAUUGAGACAAGUCUCCAUUCUAGCAUGCAAGGCUCCAUGCUUUAAGCUUUUCCUUACUCCCCUCCCCCAUCUUAUUCUCACAGUAUGCUUUGCAAAACUGCUUAGAACUGCAUGGAGGCAAACUAGUCAGUGGAAAGAAUAACUUGAUAUCAGAAAACAUAUGUCCUCUGCCUGCAAUUGUUCCUUCUGUCCCACAUAAGGAAGUAAUUGAUGUUUUCAUAGAUUUCUCAGGAAUGUUGCAAUCAGCAGAUCCAAAUUGUUGGGCCUAUGGAGAGGUACCCAAUGUUCUGUGGUCAUCCAUCACCUGACAUUCCUAAGCCCCCUCCCCAACCCAGUUUGCCUUAUAUAAGUCACUUCCUACUCAGUUCCCCUUUAAGAUCUUUUGUUUUUUAUGAUGAUAGCCAUUUUCCAAUGAGCUAUUUCAUUUCUUAAUAAAGCUUUUUCUCUACCACCA